CAGUAGCCGCGGUAAUACGAGGGGGGCAAGCGUUGUUCGGAAUUAUUGGGCGUAAAGGGCGCGUAGGCGGUUUGACAAGUCUGAUGUGAAAUCUCUGGGCUCAACCCAGAGUCUGCAUCGGAAACUGUCGAGCUUGAGUAUGGGAGAGGUGAGUGGAAUUUCCGGUGUAGCGGUGAAAUGCGUAGAUAUCGGAAGGAACACCUGUGGCGAAAGCGGCUCACUGGACCAUUACUGACGCUGAGGCGCGAAGGCUAGGGGAGCAAACAGGAUUAGAUACCCCCGUAGUCCCUGUCUCUUAUAC
rnacentral:rRNA from 1 species